rnacentral:rRNA from 1 species
AAGUCGAGGGGCAGCAUAAUGGAUAGCAAUAUCUAUGGUGGCGACCGGCGCACGGGUGCGUAACGCGUAUGCAACCUGCCGAUAACUCGGGGAUAGCCUUUCGAAAGAAAGAUUAAUACCCGAUGGCAUAAUUAGACCGCAUGGUCUUGUUAUUAAAGAAUUUCGGUUAUCGAUGGGGAUGCGUUCCAUUAGUUUGUUGGCGGGGUAACGGCCCACCAAGACUACGAUGGAUAGGGGUUCUGAGAGGAAGGUCCCCACAUUGGAACUGAGACACGGUCCAAACUCC